CUAUAUAUACCCUGUAGAACCGAAUUUGUGUGGUAUCUACAUAGUCACAGAUUCGAUUCUAGGGGAAUAUAUGGU
rfam:Oryctolagus cuniculus chromosome 7, whole genome shotgun sequence.